rnacentral:rRNA from 1 species
AGCGAACGCUGGCGGCAGGCUUAACACAUGCAAGUCGAACGCCCCGCAAGGGGAGUGGCAGACGGGUGAGUAACACGUGGGAACGUACCCUUUGGUUCGGAAUAACUUGGGGAAACUCAAGCUAAUACCGGAUAAGCCCUUUUGGGGAAAGGUUUACUGCCGAAGGAUCGGCCCGCGUCUGAUUAGCUAGUUGGUGAGGUAACGGCUCACCAAGGCGACGAUCAGUAGCUGGUCUGAGAGGAUGAUCAGCCACACUGGGACUGAGACACGGCCCAGACUCCUACGGGAGGCAGCAGUGGGGAAUAUUGGACAAUGGGGGCAACCCUGAUCCAGCCAUGCCGCGUGAGUGAUGAAGGCCUUAGGGUUGUAAAGCUCUUUUACCCGGGACGAUAAUGACUGUACCGGGAGAAUAAGCCCCGGCUAACUUCGUGCCAGCCGCCGCUGUAA